rnacentral:rRNA from 1 species
UACGUAGGCAGCAAGCGUUGUCCGGAUUUACUGGGCGUAAAGGAUGCGUAGGCGGACAUUUUAAGUCAGAUGUGAAAUACCCGAGCUUAACUUGGGUGCUGCAUUUGAAACUGGGUGUCUAGAGUGCAGGAGAGGUAAGUGGAAUUCCUAGUGUAGCGGUGAAAUGCGUAGAGAUUAGGAAGAACACCAGUGGCGAAGGCGACUUACUGGACUGUAACUGACGCUGAGGCAUGAAAGCGUGGGGAGCAAACAGG